rnacentral:lncRNA from 10 species
UCCCCUUCCCAAGUCCUUCCUGUCCACCACCACCUCGGAUGUCCCCGCACACAGCCUUCCGGUGAUGAAGUGGAUGGACUGGAAGGGGAUGUUCAUGGUCAGCUGCGUGUUGUACAUCUGCAAGCGCUGCUUCACCACUGUGGUUGGAACCGCGGGGCAGGCCAGACGGACAGCCAGUGGGCAGUGGGUUGGAUGUGGCCCCACCCCAGGUCGGAAUGAAGCCAAGCCAUAAAGAGAAACAAGCCAGUUAGACACCGGAAACAGGCGAGAGCCAGCACACACAGCCCUAGUCUGAGCAGCCGCGGAGGGCCAGCUCCCGGCAGUCCUAGGUUAAAAUCCAUUUUUAUCUCCAGGACUCACGCCUGGAAGGUGGCUAUUUCCGUCUCUCCUGCCUGAAUCUUGCUGAAGGCAGCCCCCGAACCAGGCAGCCACUUCAGACUAGAGUCGCUGAUCUGUUUCCCAGAUCCUGGCUACCCCUGGUAGGAACCCUCAGGACCCACCACAAAGCUGAAUCCUGUCCCCUGUCCCCUCUGCCCUCCUCCUUCCCCAACACAUCUACUGGAAGCGUGCCCCCUUGUGUAUUCUCAGGGGUUUGUGCCUCUAAUGGUAAUUCUAGCUUCUGUGACACAGUGCGUUUGGAACAGACACUAGAAUUAUGUCUGCCCAAGUUCAAUGACAUUCUAAGUGGAGUUCACAGGACAAGAGGCAAAUGAGACUAACUGUGGUACCUUAGGCUCAGGGUUUUAAUGGCCUCAUGUAUUGCCAAAUAAAUACAUACAAUGUGCUUUACUUUUAAACAAAUAAAGACUGUAAACCAAUAGUUAUGACAAGGAGAAAGAGAGAGUUUGAGCCUCACUUUUUUCUACUUUAAAAAAGAUAAACAAAACCCUUGCUUGGUUACACGAAGUUAACUACCUGUUUACUGACUGGGUCCCUGAAUGAACUGUCAUAAAAAGAAGCCCAAGAUAUAUAAUAUGUAAGCGAAUGUUUAUUUGGGCAUUUUUAGGUUUUUCAUUGAACUACUUCCUAGAAGGGUUUCCUCUCCACCCCACCCCACCCCCCACCACCGCUUACCUAAGAAUGCCUCUUUCCUGUCCCCAAAACACUGUCUUGAACGCAUUCAUUACAGGACAAGCCAUGAAGGCAGGUCAGUUUACUUAAGGACAUCACAUCUCUUGAGAAAGAUAAUGUGUACAAAACAAAACAGAACAUGAGCUGUCUUUCUCAGCUCUCUACUUUGUAAAUAAAAAGGGGGAAAGGUGUGUGUCCCUUCAGCAUGCCUCGUGCGGCACACGAUAAAGAAAUCAAGGGGAAUGGAGAAGGUGAUUUUCUUCACCUGCCCAUCGGGUCAACCUCAGCACCCAGACCACAGAGACUCCCCGCCCACCUCCCAACCUGCCCCAUCACAACCCUGAAGGUCAGACCAAGUCCUCUAUCUGCUAGGACAUGGAGGGUAGCUGAGAACAAAUUUAAUAGCUUCACCUUGAAAGACAAAAGACAGGCAAACUUAUAGCAUGAGACUUAAAAUGUUGAAACUUUUCUCACCAAUUCUCCCUUCUGGCCAGGAACUAUUUUCAGAUGAGGCAAAAAGGUGAAAAGAGCUCCACAACUCACCUAAAGCCAUCGCCAGGUAGAGAAUGACCCAGCUGAAGGCCUGCCCAGUGCCAGGCCCAAAAGGUACUCACUAUUCAGACACGAGUACCCGGCUAAGACGCCGGGAUAUAUAAAAAGGGAACAGACUCUGGUCUGCCCAGCUGAGGCUUGCUUCAUAUUACCCCCGAAAUUUAAAAGAACAAAAAGAAGAUAAUGUGGAAAGAGAUGGCUAAAACAAAAUGACCCAAUGUGAAUUUCUGAAGAACAGUGAUGGACACACUGCGGUACAUCGUAUUAUUCUCUCCACGUUCACAUCUGUUUGAAAUGUGAUCCAUAAUCUUUCAUAUUAAAAACAGUCAAAUUGAACACUAGCCCUAAAGAAUAGCCUCUGAUGGGUUCCCCAUACAUUUGUCUAGGAUCGAUAAGGGUUAACAAGGGCUAAGAGAGUGAGUGUGUGUGUGUGUGUGUGUGUGUGUAUGCACACAUAGGUUUUAGAAUAGUGCAAAAGCAUGCAACAGAAUCACCAAUAAACAGAUUCUGGUCCCUAGCUCCAGGGAUUCUGAUCCAGUAGGUUCGGUGUAAAGCCUGAGAAUUAGCCUUUGUUUUCUUUUCUGUUUUGAGGCAGUCUUGCUCUGUCGCCCUGGCUGAGUGCAGUGGUGCAAUCACGACUCACUGCAGCCUCAACCUCCCAAACUCAAGCAAUUCUUCCACCUCAGCCUUCCGAACAGCUGGGACUACAGGCAUGCACCACCACACCUGGCUAAUUUUUGUAUUUUUCAUAGAGACGGGGUCUCAUUAUGCUGCCCACGCUGGUCUUGAACUCCUGGGUUCAAGAGAUCUGCCUGCCUUGGCCUCCCAAAGUGCUGGGAUUACAGUUUUAAACCACCAUGCCGGCCAGAAUUAGCAUUUCCCUUUUUUUUUUUUUUUUUUCCUUUUGAGAUGGAGUCUGGCUCUGUGGCCCAGGCUGGAGUACAGUGGCGUA